AGAGUUUGAUCAUGGCUCAGGACGAACGCUGGCGGCGUGCCUAACACAUGUAAGUCGAACGGGACUGGGGGCAACUCCAGUUCAGUGGCAGACGGGUGCGUAACACGUGAGAAACUUGUCCAUCGGUGGGGGGAUAGCCGGCCCAACGGCCGGUUAAUACCGCGUACGAUCAUUUAGGGGCAUCCCUGAAUGAUGAAAGCCUUCGGGCGCCGGCGGAGAGUCUCGCGGCCUAUCAGCUAGUUGGCGGGGUAAUGGCCCACCAAGGCGACGACGGGUAGCUGGUCUGAGAGGACGAUCAGCCACAUUGGGACUGAGACACGGCCCAGACUCCUACGGGAGGCAGCAGUGGGGAAUCUUGCGCAAUGGCCGCAAGGCUGACGCAGCGACGCCGCGUGUGGGAUGACGGCCUUCGGGUUGUAAACCACUGUCGGGAGGAACGAAUACACGCUUCGUGCGUGGGUGACGGUACCUCCAAAGGAAGCACCGGCUAACUCCGUGCCAGCAGCCGCGGUAAUACGGAGGGUGCGAGCGUUGUCCGGAAUCACUGGGCGUAAAGGGCGCGUAGGUGGCCCGUUAAGUGGCUGGUGAAAUCCCGCGGCUCAACUGCGGGGCUGCCGGUCAUACUGGCGAGCUAGAGCACGGUAGGGGCAGAUGGAAUUCCCGGUGUAGCGGUGGAAUGCGUAGAGAUCGGGAAGAAUACCAGUGGCGAAGGCGUUCUGCUGGGCCGUUGCUGACACUGAGGCGCGACAGCGUGGGGAGCAAACAGGAUUAGAUACCCUAGUAGUCC
rnacentral:rRNA from 1 species